rnacentral:rRNA from 1 species
UACGUAGGUGGCGAGCGUUGUCCGGAUUUACUGGGCGUAAAGGGCGCGUAGGCGGUCAGCACAAGUCAGUUGUGAAAUCUCCGGGCUUAACUCGGAAAGGUCAACUGAUACUGUGCGACUAGAGUGCGGAAGGGGCAACUGGAAUUCUUGGUGUAGCGGUGAAAUGCGUAGAUAUCAAGAGGAACACCUGCGGCGAAGGCGGGUUGCUGGGCCGACACUGACGCUGAGGCGCGAAAGCCAGGGGAGCGAACGGG